AUGGUUGGAUGAGAGAUUUACUUUCUUUAUUUUAAAAACAAAAGUUGAUUUCUGGAUUAAAAAGUUUAGAUUUUAUUAGAGGACGAGAAGACCCUAUAGAACUUUAUUUCCCCAAAAUAUUUAUUUACUUGUAAAUAAAUUUUUAUUUAUUUUGGGGGAAAUUUUGUUGGGGUGACAAAAAAAAUUUUAUAACUUUUUUUAUUUUUAUCAUUUAUGUAUGAUUUAUUGAUCCUUUAUUGAGGAAAUAAGAUUAAGUUACCUUAGGGAUAACAGCGUUAUUGUUUUGGAGAGUUCAUAUUGAUAAAAUAGUUUGCGACCUCGAUGUUGGAUUAAAAUUAGUCUUAGGGGCAGAAUACUAAUGACUAGGUC
rnacentral:rRNA from 1 species